UGACGUCAAGUCCUCAUGGCCCUUAUGACCCAGGGCUACACACGUGCUACAAUGGGCGGUACAAAGGGUAGCGAUGCCGCGAGGUGAAGCCAAUCCCAAAAAGCCGUCCACAGUUCGGAUUGGAGUCUGCAACUCGACUCCAUGAAGCCGGAAUCGCUAGUAAUCGUGGAUCAGCAUGCCACGGUGAAUACGUUCCCGGGCCUU
rnacentral:rRNA from 1 species